GGCCGCGCUCAUUUGACGUUGCCUUUAUUGAAAUUUAUUUUAAAUGUUUACUAUUGCAGAGUAUUUAUUUUCUACAAAGUAUAGAAAAUAAUACUUUAUUGGUUUACUUUAUUUUCCCUGUAUAAUAGUGUAUUUUAUUAUCCAUGACAUAUAGACUGCAUGUGUUUAAAACAAUGUUUAGCCAUUUAUUUCGGAAAAUUGACAGAAAGGCUGACAGAAAUGACUUCCGGUUUUGUGAUGGACUGAUCGCUUUCUGUGUCUGAUGUCACCAAAGGUUUAGGACUGAAUUGCCAGUAUGAAAUUCCGGCAGAGAAUCGCUUGACUGCGGUAGGGUGGGACGUAGCCCAGUGGUACAGCGCUCGCUCGAUGCGCGUUUGGUCUGAGAUAGACCCCCGUCGGUGGUGAUCAACAGCCAUUUGCAGAUUUCUAGAUCAACUUAUACUUUGUUAUUACCUGUACUUGUACAAACCUUGUGGCCUUCCUUUUUAUAGUUUUAUCACUUUUGAUCCACUUGAAGAUCAUUCUAGUAAUAAUGAAUCACAAAUAUCUGUUCUGUGUGGUUGUUGCAAGUUUUUCAUUCUCGAUAUUUUGUUGCAAUUUUACAUAUUUCAUCUGUUCUUCAUAGGUGCCGUAGAACUGUAUGUUUUGGUCUCAACUGAUUUCGUUUGGUGUUGCUUAUUUUAAAGAAUAAUGCACUUGAUGUCAAACUUAACUAGUUUACAGUUGUCUUCCAUUCAUGUACAAUAUAUCUAUUUGAAUAAACUGUAUACAUAUUGAAAUACACAUGUAACAAAUAUAUAUCAUAGGCUAUUUAAUUGUUAACAUUGUACAACAUGCAUUUAUACAUCUUCUGUACAUGUAUUAAACUUUGGGGUCUUUUAUUUUAUUUUAAAGUCAGUGUUUUUUUAAUAUCACUUUAUUUCUGUGUCUAGUUCAUGGUGGGUUAUUAAAAAUCGUUAAUUUUAUUUGGGGGAUCUUUAUUAAUAUACAUUUGAACUCUUUCUUCAUGUUUUGUUUUUGGUGUGUGUUUACUGUAUUUUAAUGCUACCUCUGCAGUGUCAUGUAGUAAUGUUGCCAUAUAUUGUAAUAAUAUGAUUUUUGUUGUUAGUUUGUGCUGUGUGUUUAUUAACACAUUGGGAAACACAUUUGUUUUACGAGCUAUCCAGUUUGUAGUUUUCUAAUCCAGAAGCCUAAAUUAUUUUUCUGUGAUUUUUCUUGCAUAAUACUUGGGCAACAUACAUAUACAGGGGUGCAGAAAGUACUCGCCUGCUCGCCAAAUGUUAGUAAAAAUUCUCACAGACGAGUUGAAAAAUGCAGCUAUCAGUCCGUUGGGCGAUCUGUCUUUUUCUGACUGACAGUAUUUUGUUUUUAUUUUAUAAAUUUUGAAUUUUGUAAAUCUAUAUGAAAAAAACAGAAAAACUGUCUUUUAUUAGAAUAUUUCGAAAAAUAUAUAUCAUUUUGAUUUGAAAUCAGUGCAUAUUAUAGGCUAAUAUUACUAAACAUUAAUAUAUUGUUCUAUAGGCUGGCAUACUAGUAUAAUUCUGGCGGGCUUGUAAAUUUUAGUUGGUUUUGGUCUGGCAGGCUAGUGAAAUUGUUUCAUUUCUGUACCCCUGAUAUACCUAGUAUUAUAUUCGUGUGGUAGAAAAUUAUACUGCAGUUAUUCUCUAUAUUAAUAUACUUUCAUAUUGUUUGGUGUGUUCAAAGUAUUGUCUUGUCUUGAUGUAAAAUACCUUAAUCCCAUUGGUUAUUUUUUCCAGCAUCUUCUAGUAGUUCUACCCCAAAUGCAAUUUUCAACAGACUAACAGUCUGCGGUAAACUCAUCUUAUACUGGAGCAAUAGAUUAAAAAUAACAGUCAUAAUCAAUCAUUUAUAUAUAUCAUAAUUAUUUUAACUCUACAAUAAUUUAAGCAGGCGACUAAUUGAUGAUAAUGCUUUGGUACUUAGCCAGGGUAGUGACAUGGAGAAACAAUUAUUGGCCCUCCGUUCAGCACUACCCCAAUAACCUUGUUCAUUGAUUGAAAGCUCAAAGUAACCCGCUUGGUUUCAGAACCAUAAGAAUAUUUCAGAUGUUCUUAUGCAAUGUGAUUUUCACCACAGGAAAAUGAAACCUAUUUUUCUUAGAUGCUUUUAUCAAUGCCUGCAAAAAUAGUCAUGUGAGAGUAGCUUCCCCUUCUCCACUAACAGAAGCCAGUUUGUUUUUGCCUGCAUAUGGACUGGAAUAUAGCCGAGUGUUAGAUUUGGCAACAACCAGCCUUUAAAUCAAUAUGCAUGGAACAAUUACGGCCAUUUCUAAAGGUAUGAUAUGAAUAGAACACCAUAAGUCUGAAUAAAGACUAAUUUAUAUGUUUGUUGACAAUACCACUAAGUGUUCAUUUAGUUUAGAUUUCAGUUUUUAUUAAUCUUUGGUUUCAUAGAGAUGUUUCUACAAGUCAAAUUGUCAUCUUUCAAAGCCUUAAUGGUGUGUGUGUGUGUGUGUGUGUGUGUGUGUGUGUGUGUGUGUGUGUGUGUGUGUGUGUGUGUGUGUGUGUGUGCACACUUGUAUAACUGUAAAAGUGUAAACUGCAUGUGUGAGAUAAUUUAUUAACAAUAUAAAUGGCUGUCUGUUUUGUGGUUGUUAAUUUAUAUGUAACUGUAAUUGAAUCAAUAAGUUAUCUUACAUGGGUAUAAAUUUACUUCAUGUUUUACAUAUAUGUUAAAUUAAGAAAUCCAGAUGUAUAAUAAGUAUGCAUUAAAAGGUGAAGAAUUCCA
rnacentral:lncRNA from 1 species